GCCGCCUCCAGAACAGGUCUCGCGUCCGUGGGAGGCUGUGAAGCCCGCUGGCGCCCAACGGAGGAUGGGGAACGCUCCCUGUGGGAUCGCCGCCUCUUCUUCUUCUUUCUGGCCGAGAGCGGGGUGCGGGGAUCGUCGUGCCCGGCCUGAGCGCGAGCAUCCAGAUCCCGGCUGCCAUGAAGAUGAGGGGAACGCUGCGGUUCAGAUAUUGCGGAGCGGCUCCCCCUGGUGGUCAACACGCCAUCCUCCUCUGCUACAACGCCCCGUUUGGGCGGGAAAGAACGCUGGCGUGCUGCGGAUUCCCUCCUCGCGAGGAGACCUACUCCCUUUCUGGAAGCCAUUCGAUAGAGGCGCUCGCCCAAGAAGCAGGGAGGGGAGAGGAAGGGAGGGAGAGGCAGGGAGAAAAAGAUUGAAAGCUUUUUUUUUUUUUUAAAGGUGAGAGGAGGAAGAAAACUAGAAGGACAAGAAAGAGCCGAGGGAACAAGGUUGACGCAGCCCCACAAGGUAGAUCAAGGCAACAUAUUGAACGUCACCUGACAAUUCCAUGGCUCACUUCAGCUUUCUCGGAUCUGUUGAAAUCUCUAUCCAUUGGUUAAACAAUAAGCAGGUGCAGUUGGAGAGAAUCACGCGGACGUGCUGGAAGCUGGGGCCGGGUUGAAAGAUCACACCGUUGUCGUGAUUACCUGUGGGUCGUGGCGAAGCCGGCUCCUUUGCGGCCCGAC